GGUCCCAUCGUCUAGCGGUCCAGGAUAUCGGCCUCUCACGCCGGGGACACGGGUUCGAGUCCCGUUGGGACCACCA
rnacentral:tRNA from 1 species